GACGAACGCUGGAGGCGUGCUUAACACAUGCAAGUCGAACGAUGAAGCCCAGCUUGCUGGGUGGAUUAGUGGCGAACGGGUGAGUAACACGUGGGCAACCUGCCCCAAACUCUGGGAUAACUCCUCGAAAGAGGUGCUAAUACCGGAUACGAACUAGACAGACAUCUGUACUAGUUGGAAAGUUUUUCGGUUUGGGAUGGGCCCGCGGCCUAUCAGCUUGUUGGUGAGGUAACGGCUCACCAAGGCUACGACGGGUAACCGGCCUGAGAGGGCGACCGGUCACACUGGGACUGAGACACGGCCCCGACUCCUACGGGAGGCAGCAGUGGGGAAUAUUGCGCAAUGGGCGAAAGCCUGACGCAGCGACGCCGCGUGAGGGAUGAAGGUCUUCGGAUCGUAAACCUCUUUCAGUAGGGACGAAGCGAAAGUGACGGUACCUAAAGAAGAAGCACCGGCUAACUACGUGCCAGCCGCCGCCGUAA
rnacentral:rRNA from 1 species